rnacentral:tRNA from 1 species
CAUCAAGAAGCUAUGUCAGCGUUAACCUUUUAAGUUAAAGNUCGAGGGUAUAACUCUCCUUGAUGA